AAAAUGACAAACCAUGGAUUUCCGUGUCCAACGUUUGACCGUUUGUCUUAUUUGAAAAAAUUAUGAAAAAAAUUAAAAAGACAAGUCACGCAUAAAGUAUUAAUCAUGUUUUAUCAUCUAACAACAAUGAAAAUAGUAAUUAUAAAAAAUUCAUAUAAGACGGACAGUUAACCGUUGGACACGGAAAUCUAGGGUUUGUCUUUUU
rfam:Oryza barthii chromosome 6, whole genome shotgun sequence.